GAUUAAAAUAAUAUAAUACAAAAUCAAUAUCAACCUCCAUCCCCGUUAUCCCUUUUAAUUAGGGUUCUCUGAAUCUCUGAAGAUGGAGAAUCCAUCUUCCACAACCAAAUCCCUCCUCGACGAAUUUUAAGGGAAAUCCCCAAACUGGCAUCACAAACUUCGACUUUUGAAGAUGGAGAAUCCAUCUUCCGCAACCAAACCCCUCCUCGACGAAUUCUAAGGGAAAUCCCCAAUCUGGCAUCAUCUGUCUUUCUCACGGUUCGAGUUUUUGAAACCCUAAUCUCCGUUUGCCUCAAUCACUACCGCGAUAUGCCUUAAUCUCCGACGGCAAUGAAGUCGCUGAUGUGUGCGAAGGCGGUACUCGACGGCAGUGAUGGACGCUUGAAUGUGGCGACACUGAGCCCUAAACCACUGACGAUGGUGCGUUUCCUUUAAAAAUGGUUGGGGAUUUCCGCCUUUCAAAAUUGAAGCAUUCAACCUUUUUGUCUGCUAUAUCCGGGGGAUGGACGCCUCAAUGGAUAGCACAUGAAGUGCUUCGUAACGAACCUUCAAACGAACUUUUUAUUAAAGAAUCAGCCGAAUAUAGUAUGAUGUUGAUCAGGUUGGGGAUUUCGGCCUUUCAAAAUUGAAGCAUUCAACCUUUUUGUCUGCUAUAUCCGGGGGAUGGACGGUAAGAACAUUCUCUUUGGAUAUUUUCAUGAAGUGUGAAAACUGGACGCCUCAAUGGAUAGCACAUGAAGUGCUUCGUACCGAACCUUCAAACGAGCUGAUUGAAGUUUGGGGAUUUCGAUUCAUCUUAUUCAUGAGAUGAAUCUGAUGGUGAAGUAUAUGUAUAUCUUCUUGGUGUUGCAAGCGUACGGCAUUGUUGGAUAUUUGAUUGUUCGACAAUCUUCGGGUGAUCAUUUCCAUUUUUACCCUUCUCAAAGUUUUUUUUUUGGCUUAUCAUUUAAAUCUGCCAUGAUAUUCACUAGGUUGGGUGCUUCGGUGUUUUAAAGUUGAAGCAUGCAGCCCUUUUAUCUGCUGCCUUCGGCGAGGGAUAGAAUUGGUGUUGGCAACGAAUUGGUCCUUGCUGACCUCCGUGAAGGGAGUACCGGCCCCAUCACGGUGAUGGUUUGUAGAAAGUGGGACGUCACAAGUGUCAAUGGCCGCUUCAUGAGCACUGAUUAUGUCGUCAGUGAUAUAAAGGGAGGUGUCAUGCAUUGUACCGCCCGGAAUAACAUUGCACAUUACUUCUUUGACAAGCUAAAAGAGGGUGGGGUAUAUUUACUCAAGGGUUUUGUAGUCCAACGCACCGAUCAAUACCGGAUUCUGAAAGACAACCCCUUUGUUAUCGGGUUAAAUGGCUCCACGGUAGUUAAAAAGGUUGACGAUGCCGGUAGUUCAUUUACGCGCUACCCGUUCUUACUUACGCCGUUUGAGGAACUCGAACCAACAGAGGGCAAGUACUUUGUAGAUGUUAUCGGAUAUGUUACUGAGGUGGGGUCGCAGUCUGUAAAAUCAUCGGGUGCUCGCGCGGUUGAGUUCAAUCUAACCAACGAACGCAAUCGCCGAGUUAGAGUGACACUGUGGGGUGAUCUCGGUGAUGUUAUGCUUAAGAAGAAGGACGAAAACCCGGCUGUCUACUGCCUAAUCCUGACUUCCAUGAGCGCAGAGUUUUACCUGGGUGUCCUUGGUUUGUCCAGUUCAUCGUCAACUAUUCUCAUUGAUUCCUCCGAGGUUCCCGCACUGCAGACUUUUAAGUCGUCUGUCAGUUGUGUUCCUAUUGGAGAUGCUAGCGAUCCAGUCACCGAGGAAGUUGUAAGUGUUGGAACUCUACAAGAGCUUGUGGACAGAGUUCGUGCUGACAAAUCCAAAAAAAAGAUGGCUGUGCGCCCUUUUGUGAUGCUCGAAGCCUCUUUCGCCUUUCAUGAAUAUUCACGUCGUUUGCCUAACGGGUUGGUCCAAUACGUUUGUGGGCUAAAACUGAUUGAACAGGCUGGAACAAACAGAGACGAGGUUUGCAGGUUAUGGCCUACUGCUCCUGAUGUGGUUAGUAAUUCGAUACAGGCCCGUCGUUGUUCCCAUACGUUGCCUGAUGGAAAGAUUCAAACAUAUUUUGGCCUUGCAUUGAUUAACAGCUGCAACGAUUCUAGCAUCGUGGGUAGCAAACAUUCUAUCCAUAUACAAAAUCGUAAUUAUGUGGGUCUUAGUGGGAAGGUCGUGACAUACUGUGGGCCUACCCUAACUACCAUAGAUGCAACUACUUCCUCUGCUGACCCCAACGCAGGUUGUACUCAAAUACAACCGCCAACUGUUACAGUGACCACUGGGCCUGGCGCUAAAGUGUGUUCAAGAGAAUCAAUUAAAGGUCGUCCCCAUAUUUCCUCAUGAACGUCCCUCUGGUAAAAACGCCAUGCGGAGCGAUGCAGUGCAGAUGCAGCCUGCUUUAUGUCCACCAACAACAUAUUCUCCCUCCGUAUCUGCCCAAGACAAUAUUUCCUGCACUACACGGCAUUCUCAUCAAAGCGUAGCGGGCCCAUCACGCCUGCGCUCUUCUCGGCCUAAAAAAACAGAAGGUAUUCGUGUUCGCACCCCACGAAGGGCAGCGUUUGCAUCAACAGACACAACAACUAUGUACGUACCACGUUGAGUAUUAUGCAUCUGCCCUCCAACGACCAACUACCCCCGUAUUCUGCCAGUAACGCCACCGCAACAACUAUUCAUGCGCCACAGGGAGAAGAGGCACCGAUGAUUCAAAAACUGUUGUUUGUUGCUGGUUUGGACACAUUUACACAAACGCAUAUUGGGCCACGGUUGCCAGCUGUCAUUGAAGGGGGGGGCAUACGCUUUCGUGCGCGCAACUAUUUCAAUCAUUUUGGCUGGUCAAUAUAGCGACAUCGUUGACCCUCAAGGUUGCUAAAUGUGUUGAGGUUGGGUUGUAUGAGCUUGAUUUGCCCUUGAUAUGCAUAUAUAAAUAUGUGCGUCUAUAUAUAUAUAUUAUCUGCAUAUAGGGGAUAUGUAUAUAGAUUGCUGCUAAUUAUGCCUAAAAAGAUUUGUUUUAUAUGCUUCCUUAAGAUUCUGCAGGGUACUAAAUGUGUUGACAUUGGCUUGCCUCAGAUUAUGGCAAGCAGCUUUUAUCAUCUGUAUUGCCGUUAAUCCAACAUAAUAAGUAAUGCAUGUCCUAAACACUUUUUUU